GUAGUCGUGGCCGAGUGGUUAAGGCGACAGACUUGAAAUCUGUUGAGAUAUUCCCGCGCAGGUUCAAAUCCUGCCGACUAAG
rnacentral:tRNA from 1 species